UGAAAGGGCCGUUGUUUCAGGAGUGCGAGCUGCAUUGCAAGGUGUCCUGGCACCUACACCUGCUGCUGCAAAUCUGGUUAACACAUCAUCACCAUCCACAAGUUCUGCCGCUUCACACAGACCGGUCAACACUCUGCCGCCACCCAUAGCAUCCACAAGUUCAGCCACAUCUGCAGGGGCUGGCACAUCCCAGAGAUUGGUUCCUUUUCCAUCAUAUUUUCAAUCAAGAAGAGGUCGAUCAGGAUAUCAGCAAAGAAAAAACGUGAAAACGUUUACAAAAGACGUUGUAUGUUUGCCAUUUUCUCCAAGGGAAUCAGUUUUCGUCAUACCUAGAGGAGAAAACAGGAGUCGCUUGGCUCAAGCUGGUCUAAUUGGAAAAAUUUCCUUUACCACCGAGUGGUCUGAAGAUCAGCUCAGAGAAGAAAUUUCUGCUAUCUUCAGAGGAUCAUUUGGCAUCUCCGAGCAUGAUGUUUUCCCUUUUCAGUUCUUGAGCACAAUAAAAGGGUGCAAAAAAUUAAUGAAGCCCAAUGUCACACCCAACUUUCCCUGGGGGGGGAAAGAAGUUUCUUCUGUUUGCUCAAAUACCUGUCUUUACAUUAUGGCUGAAAUGGAAUUGCCAACACAGGUGAGCUUGAUAGUGAUAGUACUGGUAAACCUUUUUCAUGUAAUACUAUUUGCAUGCGAUUUUUGUUAAAAUUAUUUAAAUAUGAACAUAACUAAGCACAGCAUCAUCUUUACAUGUGACACUUUUUAUUGUUGUAAAUUGUUUUUGCAAUCACAAAUUAACUUUGAACAUUUAGUCAUGCUUGUUAUGUCUAAAUUACAAUUUAUAUGCUUUUAAAAUUGCUUUCUUACACAAAAUUUCCACAUCUUAUCAUUCAGCACAGAGUUUUUGACACGGAUGACAGUGACUUUGAAAGUCCAACUUUUCAGAGGAGAGAUCUUGAGACAUUGGAGCAAUCUAAUGUUGACGGUCAAUAUGAACCAAUGGAGGCAGAUGCCAGAAAUCGAGAACAUGAGACCGAAC